GGAGGGAUGGCCGAGUGGCUUAAGGCGCACGCUUGGAAAGCGUGUAUACGGGAAACCGUAUCGUGGGUUCGAAUCCCACUCCCUCCGCCA
rnacentral:tRNA from 2 species